UACGAAGGGGGCUAGCGUUGUUCGGAAUCACUGGGCGUAAAGCGCACGUAGGCGGGUCGUUAAGUCGGGGGUGAAAUCCUGGGGCUCAACCUCAGAACUGCCUUCGAUACUGGCGACCUUGAGUCCGGGAGAGGUGAGUGGAACUCCGAGUGUAGAGGUGAAAUUCGUAGAUAUUCGGAAGAACACCAGUGGCGAAGGCGGCUCACUGGCCCGGUACUGACGCUGAGGUGCGAAAGCGUGGGGAGCAAACAGG
rnacentral:rRNA from 1 species